UACGGAGGAUGCAAGCGUUAUCCGGAAUCAUUGGGCGUAAAGCGUCCGCAGGUGGCAGUUCAAGUCUGCUGUCAAAGACUGGGGCUUAACCCUAGAAAGGCAGUGGAAACUGAACAGCUAGAGUGCGGUAGGGGUAGAGGGAAUUCCCGGUGUAGCGGUGAAAUGCGUAGAGAUCGGGAAGAGCACCAGUGGCGAAAGCGCUCUGCUGGACUGAACCUGACGCUGAAACGCGAAAGCUAGGGUAGCGAACGGG
rnacentral:rRNA from 1 species